rnacentral:rRNA from 1 species
GGGUUGUGAGGUUAAGCGACUAAGCGUACACGGUGGAUGCCCUGGCAGUCAGAGGCGAUGAAGGACGUGCUAAUCUGCGAAAAGCGUCGGUAAGGUGAUAUGAACCGUUAUAGCCGGCGAUGUCCGAAUGGGGAAACCCAGUGCAAUUCGUUGCACUAUCGUUUGAUGAAUACAUAGUCAAACGAGGCGAACCGGGGGAACUGAAACAUCUAAGUACCCCGAGGAAAAGAAAUCAACCGAGAUUCCCCCAGUAGCGGCGAGCGAACGGGGAGCAGCCCGGAGUCUGAAUCAGCUUGUGUGUUAGUGGAAGCGUCUGGAAAGUCGCAGGGUACAGGGUGAUACUCCCGUACACUAAAACGCACAGGCUGUGAACUCGAAGAGUAGGGCGGGACACGUGGUAUCCUGUCUGAAUAUGGGGGGACCAUCCUCCAAGGCUAAAUACUCCUGACUGACCGAUAGUGAACCAGUACCGUGAGGGAAAGGCGAAAAGAACCCCGGCGAGGGGAGUGAAAAAGAACCUGAAACCGUGUACGUACAAGCAGUAGGAGCCUCUUUAUGGGGUGACUGCGUACCUUUUGUAUAAUGGGUCAGCGACUUAUAUUCUGUAGCAAGGUUAACCGUAUAGGGGAGCCGCAGGGAAACCGAGUCUUAACUGGGCGUUAAGUUGCAGGGUAUAGACCCGAAACCCGGUGAUCUAGCCAUGGGCAGGUUGAAGGUUGGGUAACACUAACUGGAGGACCGAACCGACUAAUGUUGAAAAAUUAGCGGAUGACUUGUGGCUGGGGGUGAAAGGCCAAUCAAACCGGGAGAUAGCUGGUUCUCCCCGAAAGCUAUUUAGGUAGCGCCUCGUGAACUCAUCUUCGGGGGUAGAGCACUGUUUCGGCUAGGGGGUCAUCCCGACUUACCAACCCGAUGCAAACUACGAAUACCGAAGAAUGUUAUCACGGGAGACACACGGCGGGUGCUAACGUCCGUCGUGAAGAGGGAAACAACCCAGACCGCCAGCUAAGGUCCCAAAGUCAUGGUUAAGUGGGAAACGAUGUGGGAAGGCCCAGACAGCCAGGAUGUUGGCUUAGAAGCAGCCAUCAUUUAAAGAAAGCGUAAUAGCUCACUGGUCGAGUCGGCCUGCGCGGAAGAUGUAACGGGGCUAAACCAUGCACCGAAGCUGCGGCAGCGACACUAUGUGUUGUUGGGUAGGGGAGCGUUCUGUAAGCCGUUGAAGGUGGCCUGUGAGGGUUGCUGGAGGUAUCAGAAGUGCGAAUGCUGACAUAAGUAACGAUAAUGCGGGUGAAAAACCCGCACGCCGGAAGACCAAGGGUUCCUGUCCAACGUUAAUCGGGGCAGGGUGAGUCGACCCCUAAGGCGAGGCCGAAAGGCGUAGUCGAUGGGAAACAGGUUAAUAUUCCUGUACUCGGUGUUACUGCGAAGGGGGGACGGAGAAGGCUAUGUUGGCCGGGCGACGGUUGUCCCGGUUUAAGCAUGUAGGCGGAUGUUCCAGGUAAAUCCGGAACGUUAUUAACGCUGAGGUGUGAUGACGAGGCACUACGGUGCUGAAGUGACAAAUGCCCUGCUUCCAGGAAAAGCCUCUAAGCAUCAGGUAACAUCAAAUCGUACCCCAAACCGACACAGGUGGUCAGGUAGAGAAUACCAAGGCGCUUGAGAGAACUCGGGUGAAGGAACUAGGCAAAAUGGUGCCGUAACUUCGGGAGAAGGCACGCUGAUAUGUAGGUGAAGUGGUUUACCCAUGGAGCUGAAAUCAGUCGAAGAUACCAGCUGGCUGCAACUGUUUAUUAAAAACACAGCACUGUGCAAACACGAAAGUGGACGUAUACGGUGUGACGCCUGCCCGGUGCCGGAAGGUUAAUUGAUGGGGUUAUCCGUAAGGAGAAGCUCUUGAUCGAAGCCCCGGUAAACGGCGGCCGUAACUAUAACGGUCCUAAGGUAGCGAAAUUCCUUGUCGGGUAAGUUCCGACCUGCACGAAUGGCGUAAUGAUGGCCAGGCUGUCUCCACCCGAGACUCAGUGAAAUUGAACUCGCUGUGAAGAUGCAGUGUACCCGCGGCAAGACGGAAAGACCCCGUGAACCUUUACUAUAGCUUGACACUGAACACUGGUCCUUGAUGUGUAGGAUAGGUGGGAGGCUUUGAAGCGUGGACGCCAGUCUGCGUGGAGCCAUCCUUGAAAUACCACCCUUUAAUGGCUGGUGUUCUAACGUGGGCCCCUAAUCGGGGUUGCGGACAGUGUCUGGUGGGUAGUUUGACUGGGGCGGUCUCCUCCUAAAGAGUAACGGAGGAGCACGAAGGUCAGCUAAUCCUGGUCGGACAUCAGGAGGUUAGUGCAAUGGCAUAAGCUGGCUUGACUGCGAGCGUGACGGCGCGAGCAGGUGCGAAAGCAGGUCAUAGUGAUCCGGUGGUUCUGAAUGGAAGGGCCAUCGCUCAACGGAUAAAAGGUACUCCGGGGAUAACAGGCUGAUACCGCCCAAGAGUUCAUAUCGACGGCGGUGUUUGGCACCUCGAUGUCGGCUCAUCACAUCCUGGGGCUGAAGUAGGUCCCAAGGGUAUGGCUGUUCGCCAUUUAAAGUGGUACGCGAGCUGGGUUUAGAACGUCGUGAGACAGUUCGGUCCCUAUCUGCCGUGGGCGCUGGAGAAUUGAGGGGGGCUGCUCCUAGUACGAGAGGACCGGAGUGGACGCAUCACUGGUGUUCGGGUUGUCAUGCCAAUGGCAUUGCCCGGUAGCUAAAUGCGGAAGAGAUAAGUGCUGAAAGCAUCUAAGCACGAAACUUGCCCCGAGAUGAGUUCUCCCUGACUCCUUGAGAGUCCUGAAGGAACGUUGAAGACGACGACGUUGAUAGGCCGGGUGUGUAAGCGCAGCGAUGCGUUGAGCUAACCGGUACUAAUGAACCGUGAGGCUUAACCUUACAACGCCGAAG